UACGGGGGGGGCAAGCGUUGUUCGGAAUUACUGGGCGUAAAGGGCUCGUAGGUGGCCAACUAAGUCAGACGUGAAAUCCCCAGGCUCAACUUGGGAACUGCGUCUGAUACUGGAUGGCUUGAAUUCGGGAGAGGGAUGCAGAAUUCCAGGUGUAGCGGUGAAAUGCGCAGAUAUCAGGAGGAACACCAGCGGCGAAGGCGGUGCUCUGGGCCGGAACUGACGCUGAGGAGCGAAAGCGUGGGGAGCGAACAGG
rnacentral:rRNA from 1 species